rnacentral:rRNA from 1 species
UACGGAGGGUGCAAGCGUUAUCCGGAUUCACUGGGUUUAAAGGGUGCGUAGGCGGGUUGGUAAGUCAGGGGUGAAAUCCCGGGGCUCAACCUCGGAACUGCCUUUGAUACUGCAAAUCUCGAGUCCGGAAGAGGUGAGUGGAAUUCCUAGUGUAGAGGUGAAAUUCGUAGAUAUUAGGAAGAACACCAGUGGCGAAGGCGGCUCACUGGUCCGGUACUGACGCUGAGGUGCGAAAGCGUGGGGAGCAAACAGG